rnacentral:rRNA from 1 species
ACGUCAGCGGCAGACGGGUGAGUAACGCGUGGGAACGUACCUUUUGGUUCGGAACAACACAGGGAAACUUGUGCUAAUACCGGAUAAGCCCUUACGGGGAAAGAUUUAUCGCCGAAAGAUCGGCCCGCGUCUGAUUAGCUAGUUGGUAGGGUAAUGGCCUACCAAGGCGACGAUCAGUAGCUGGUCUGAGAGGAUGAUCAGCCACAUUGGGACUGAGACACGGCCCAAACUCCUACGGGAGGCAGCAGUGGGGAAUAUUGGACAAUGGGGGCAACCCUGAUCCAGCCAUGCCGCGUGAGUGAUGAAGGCCCUAGGGUUGUAAAGCUCUUUUGUGCGGGAAGAUAAUGACGGUACCGCAAGAAUAAGCCCCGGCUAACUUCGUGCCAGCAGCCGCGGUAAUACGAAGGGGGCUAGCGUUGCUCGGAAUCACUGGGCGUAAAGGGUGCGUAGGCGGGUUUUUAAGUCAGGGGUGAAAUCCUGGAGCUCAACUCCAGAACUGCCUUUGAUACUGAAGAUCUUGAGUCCGGGAGAGGUGAGUGGAACUGCGAGUGUANAGGUGAAAUUCGUAGAUAUUCGCAAGAACACCAGUGGCGAAGGCGGCUCACUGGCCCGGUACUGACGCUGAGGCACGAAAGCGUGGGGA